AACGAACGCUGGCGGCAUGCCUAACACAUGCAAGUCGAACGAAGGCUUCGGCCUUAGUGGCGCACGGGUGCGUAACGCGUGGGAAUCUGCCCUUUGGUUCGGAAUAACAGCUGGAAACGGCUGCUAAUACCGGAUGAUGACGAAAGUCCAAAGAUUUAUCGCCAGAGGAUGAGCCCGCGUUGGAUUAGGUAGUUGGUGGGGUAAAGGCCUACCAAGCCGACGAUCCAUAGCUGGUCUGAGAGGAUGAUCAGCCACACUGGGACUGAGACACGGCCCAGACUCCUACGGGAGGCAGCAGUGGGGAAUAUUGGACAAUGGGCGCAAGCCUGAUCCAGCAAUGCCGCGUGAGUGAUGAAGGCCUUAGGGUUGUAAAGCUCUUUUACCCGGGAAGAUAAUGACUGUACCGGGAGAAUAAGCCCCGGCUAACUCCGUG
rnacentral:rRNA from 1 species